GAGACAGGCUCAUAGCAGGAUCGCUUUGCUGGCAGACACACCUGGCUUUGAAUCCAGCCCCGCAACUUGGGGAAAGUUACUUAACAUCUUUGAGCCACGGUUUCCUCCUUCAUAACCAGACAGCAACACUCCAAGAUGCUUGUGAGGCUCUCAAGAGGAUUUAUUCCAGCGCUGAGCGCAGUGCCUGGCGCACAUUAAGAUGCCAGGAAGCCGGAUGGGUGAUUGCUCAGGUCUGUCCAGCCAGUUGGGCAGCCGUCAGAAACUGGGAGGGCUGACGAGACACCAGCCCAGAGAGCUGUCAGGGAGCGGCAGAGCAGAGGAGAGGGCCCAGGAUGGAUCGGCAGGUGUCAGCCAGGAUGGACGGGAGGAGCCGUGCUCAGAGCCAGCAGCCCCAGGACGAGCAGCUCCUGGCUAGGAACAGAAGACAGGCACUGUGGGACAAGUCAAAGGGUGCUUUCAUGUAUCAUCAUUCCACUUGAGGCUCAAAGCACACCAAUAACAAGUACUUGUUCAGAAUGUAUAAACAACCCUGAGAGAUGGGUUUUAUCAUCCACAUUCAACAGGUGAAAAAACAAAGAAAGAAACUUGACCAAGGACUCAUACUCAAAAAAGAAAAAUAUAGAAAAGAAAAAAAAUGUGCAUCGCUAUCAUUUGAAGGCAAAGUCUUGCUCUGUUGCCCAGGCUGGAGUCUGGUGGUACAAUCAGAGCUCAUUGCAGACUGGAAAUCCUAGGCUCAAGCCAUCCUCCCA
rnacentral:lncRNA from 10 species